ensembl:misc_RNA 7SK 7SK RNA
GGAUGUGAGGGCGAUCUGGCUGCGACCUCUGUCACCCCAUUGAUUGCCAGGGUUGAUUCAGCUGAUACGGCUGGCUAGGCGGGUAUCCCCUUCCUCCCUCACUGCUCCAUGUGCAUCCCUCGUGAAGCUGCACACUCAGUGGAAGAGGACGACCACCCCAGAAAAGAGGAGGACCAUUUCCUCUGUCCAAGGUACCUGAGAAGUUGCACUCCCUUGCUAGAACCUCCAAACAAGCUCUCAAAGCACUCAUUAACAAACCACUAUAUCAGUUCCCGGUUGCUGCUAUAACAAAGCAUCGAAAACUUUGAGGCUUACACCAGUACAAAUGUAUUAUCUC